rnacentral:rRNA from 1 species
CGGUACCUGCAGAAGAAGCCCCGGCUAACUACGUGCCAGCAGCCGCGGUAACACGUAGGGGGCAAGCGUUGUCCGGAUUUAUUGGGCGUAAAGAGCUCGUAGGUGGCUAAGUAAGUCGGGUGUCAAAUCCCCAGGCUCAACCUGGGUCUCCACCCGAUACUGCUUUGGCUAGAGUCCGGUAGGGGAGCGUGGAAUUCCUGGUGUAGCGGUGAAAUGCGCAGAUAUCAGGAGGAACACCAGCGGCGAAGGCGGCGCUCUGGGCCGGUACUGACACUGAGGAGCGAAAGCGUGGGUAGCAAACAGGAUUAGAUACCCUGGUAGUCCACGCCGUAAACGUUGGGCACUAGGUGUGGGGUCUAUUCAACGGACUCCGUGCCGUCGCUAACGCAUUAAGUGCCCCGCCUGGGGAGUACGGCCGCAAGGCUAAAACUCAAAGGAAUUGAC